UUUUGUUUCAGUGUGUCUGUAUUUAUUUAUUUAUUUAACACAAGACCCUGUAUCCUCACAGCCUGGUUUGGGACUCAUGUCUGACUGAUCUGACCAACUUUCACACUGUCUGAAUGGCAUCCAUGAGGACAAAGAGGAAAGAUGCAGAGGCUUCUGAUCAUUUGCGCUUGGACUAAACCACGGACCUGAAGGAUAAGUGGCAAUGGGGUCCUCCGGUCAUUUCCAGUCUACAAUGAUGAGAGAUUGGAUCGGCCUGUGGACAAUAGCACUCUCACAGAUGAACUCAGUUUUGUACCAGCCUUGGUGGAGUCUCCAUCCUCACAAUUGCAAUUACUUGAUGAUAAACAUGACAAAUCAAGAAAAGAUAUCUGAUGCGGUCCUUCACACUUCCAGGUCAGCUUCUGGUCUGUCUGUGGAUAUUUAUCUUAUCCUUUGGUCUUAAUUUCUGUCCCAACAAAGUUUGCUUUUCUGUGAUAGCCUGAAAAUUACUGUCUCUGUUGUAAACUGAACUCCUCUCAGUAUCGCAGAAGACAGCAGGAACCUUCUUUAAAGUGGGAAAGCAGCACUUAAUCUGCACACAAUAAGAAGAGUUGAAUUGACUUUAUCAUCUUAUUUGCUGAGUCUUGUCCUUUAGCUAGUCAAUAUUUGUAAUGAGUAAGCCUGUCUUCCUCAAAGUUUAUCUAAAGGUUUUCCAAACCUUUUAAGGUUCAAGAGUCUUAUACCUAUUAUACAUUUUCUUCACAGGUUUUCUAGAAUUUUCUUGAGUGUUAAUAAUUACACAUUGACAUCAGGCAAGGGAAAAUAAUCUCCUGCUAGCACCAAGUGGGAAGACUCUGAAUCUAAGGGUGGUAAUAGAUAUAUAUAAGCUAUCUAGCCAUGAAAAAGUACAUACCACUUAGGAUCUUGUAUCUUGAAAAAGAUCACCUUUCAUGACGAAGACUUCUUCAUAGCUUUCUACUAUCUCAGUUUCAAAAAUGCAGCCAUGAAAAAGGAAAAAAAUAAGUUGAAGAAUGUUUUAAGGUAAUUCAUUAAAUCUUCAUCACUGGUUUGAAUCCACAUGGAGAGAAAAUCCUGUGUACUGCACCAAAUACUGUCAACUGUACAGUAUAUACUAUACUG